ACACACACACACACACUCCUCGUCCUCCCUCCCUGUCCUCUUCUUCUGCACUUCGGGUGUUCUAAACCAAAUCAGAUCAAUUUUCGUUUAAUCCAAUGGAACCCCGGAGACUCACCAUCCCCGGAGUUUGCGUUCUUUGCGCCCAGCGGCGGCGCACUCUAGACCUAGGGUGAUUGAAGAUGUAACCUUUCAGCUUCCUGCUCUGGCUGCCAGCUGCCAUGCCUACCCUGCUGUUGCAGACGAUCCCUCUGGAACCAUAAUCCAACACAACCUCUUUCUUCUCAUCGCUCACUGGAGCUCUGUCCACGUCGCCUCAACAAGUGUCUGCUGCAUUGGCCCUAGCUGUUGCCAUGAACACCACAGAGCCUGCCUGCCAUGUUUCCUUUUUUAAUCCCCACAGCUGGCCGGAAGACCCUGGCUACUUUCAGCAGCGCAGCACGCAGCGUCUGCCUCCCUGUUCCCUUACAGACCCAGUUCAACCAGUGUUCUUGCAUUUUAUCCACAGCCAUUUGCAAAUUCAUGUGCCUUUAUUGGGAGAAACACCCAGUGUGCACAUGGAUCUAUAAUGCUGAAUUUAGGUUUUCUAUCUUCUCUCUUCAUUUGUAAUGAAAAUGCCCGCACAGAUCAAACUGCUAAUACUGUAGCUUUGAAAACAAAUGGAGUCCUUGUAGAAAUCAAUUGUUUCCUAAUUAAUUAGUAAUACCCCGUGAAGGAAAAAUAAAAAGUUAAGUAAUUUGUUCAAAGCAAAGGCACUCUCAUGGUGAAACCUCCCUCGGUUUGUAUAGCUAGUUUAUUUAUUACCCACUUUCACUGUUGUACAGAUCAUUUAGAUAGAAAACUAAUAAGGAACAGAAUGAGCUGCAUUUUAAACUCAGUGAAUUGAACAGGUAUUUGUAGGAUGUUCCAUAUACCAGCAACAGAGCACACAUUCUUCUCAAAUGUGUAUAGAAUGCUUUCCACUUUGGAUCAUAUAUUAGGCCACAAAAUAAGUAUUAAUAAAUGUAGGAAAACUAAAAUCA